CCUGGUGGCUCAGACGUUAAAGUGUCUGCCUUCAAUGCAGAAGACCUGGGUUCAAUCCCUGGGACAGGA
rfam:TPA: Bos taurus chromosome 6, whole genome shotgun sequence.